AGCAAAGCCGCUCUCCUUGUUCAUCUUCUUCUUCUGCUGCUGUUGUGUCCCUCUGCAAGGUGCUCCUGUUGGUCCUGGCUCUCAUCUGCACCCUGGAAACUGUCUCAGUAGAAGGAGGUAAAUACUUCCUCUGUCUCACAAAAAAUAACUACAAUACACGAAUCUGAACAAACAUUCAUCCAAUCCAAGUUUACCCUCAGAAAUUGGCUUUUAUGGGACAGAAGAUGCACAUAUUUAAACUCAUAAUCAUUGAGAGUUAAUCAAUUACUCUCUCUGGUUAUGUUUUGGAUAAGAUUGUAGUCAAACUUUUAUAACUUUAAUUAUCAAAAUUUUAAAAGUAUUUAGUUUAAAAGAACUAGACCAACAUAUAUGUAUUUGUCGUUCAAAGUUCUAUAAUAAAAAUAAACAUGUAUUUAUUUAUUCUAUAUAUUAUAAUAGAAAAACAAGAUCAAAGAUAUAUUUUGAAGACUGUGUUAUUGUCUAAAACGUCAAGAAUUAUAAAACCGAAGGAAGUACUAAGGCUGUGUUGGAGGAGGAGAUAGAGAAGAUUGAGAAGAUACGUAAAACGAGGUGAGCCAUUUAGCACAUGAUUAAUUAAAUAUUAGCUAUUUUAAACUUUAAAAAUGGAUUAAUAUGAUUUUCUAAAGCAACUUUUCUGUAAAAACUUUUUGCAAAAAAUACACCGUUUAGUAGUUUGGGAAGCGUGCGUACGGAAAACGAAACAAACAAUCUCCCUAUCACCCCAGAACGAACGCAGCCUAAGUUACUUGGUUGGUUAACUAAAUUUGGUAUCUGGAUGGAUGCAGGGAGAGUGGCAGCAGCAGCAUUAGUUGGUGGGGGCGUACCACUGAAUCCACGGUACCCGGCGAUUCCUGAAGAACCUUACAUAGGCCGGAGAGGCGAUCCGUACACAGGUCGGGGAGGCGAACCUUACACACGCCCGGGACGGGGAUGCACCGUUGCAUACGGAUGCUAUGGAGGUCCUCCAGCUGCCAAACCAUGACGAUCGACAUACUACUCUGCUACUGCUACUGCAUGCUCGCUUGUUAUUUCGAUCGAUCAAUCUCAUGGCCUGCGUAGCUCACCACAUAAACAAAUAAAAACUAUGCAUCUAAUAAUUAACCCCUGAUCUAUCGAUCGAUCAGUAGACGGGUAUGCAUCAAUCGGCAUCAGCAGCAUAUGCGAUGUGAAUUGUGAUGUAUGCAUGGUGUAUUUUUGUGGUAAAUAAAGUGAAGCAGAUAUCUAUCUAGUAUAUACACAUCGUUCCUGCUUCUAUGUUGCCUGCGAAUUACAUCCCCUUUUGAUGUUGUACCUGUUCAUAGGUCUAGUUCAUACUACUUCAUAGGUACAGACCUCACCAUUCCAAUCAAGAUGACAUACAGAGAUUAUUUUUGAUGUCCUGCAUAUUGGUUGUGCAAGCAGGGCGUUAAGGGAAACAUUGGCGAUUUGCCAACACAUUUUGUAGGUAAAGAAGAGAAUACUACUUGGGUCGUCAGUUUGUGCUGAGAUGAACUCAAUGUAUUACAAAUAAAUUUCAGAAAACUACAACUAUAGUAACAAAACUAUCAGUUUGCUGCAACAUUAGUUAUCUAUUUCAGUUUGCUGCAAUAAUAGCGUGAGAAAUUAUCACAAAACUACAACUUUUACGUGAUAUGUUACUAUAGGACAUGUAGGUGACAACAGUACCAGCAUAUCACGUAAAAGUUACAGUUUUAUGAUAAUUUCCCACGCUAUUGUUGCAGCAAACUGAAAUAGAUCACUAAUGUUGUAGCAAACUGAUAGUUUUGUUAUUAUAGUUACAGUUUUCUGAAAUUUACUCAUGUAUUACAGAUCACAUAGGAACAUUUUCUAAGUAAACAAGUGUUUGUCCCAUGUAUUAUGCUUGUGCUGCAUAUACAUGAGUACAUCAUGGAACAAGGAGCCAGGAAGUUGUACACAACACAUACUACUCCACUGUUUACUACAGGAAUUAUUUUUAUUUUUUAACCUUUUAAAUUUUUAAUUUUAAAAAUAAACCCUUUCAAAACUUAUUUACAAAAUCUGAACCAAAACAAUAUUGAUAAGUCGCAUGCAAUGGGUACGACAGUUUUGUCCCGCUAAACCAACGAGAGCGGCGUGACCAAAUAACGUUGCCAUGUUAGCGAGAUCGACGUGGCCAAAUAACGCUGUCACGUCAACGAGACUGGCGUGACAGUAUUGUUUUACCACGCCAGCUAAAUACCACUCUAGUUUGACUAGCGUGAACAAUAGAUACAUAUCUUGAAAAAUAAAUUUUGAAAGGCCUUAUUGUUUGGCCAAUCUAUAUGUGCAUGGUUGCAGAUUUGGUGAGCUCAAGCCUUUCGCUAGUCGCUAUCACAUCCGUCGCGAUUGCCACACUCAAGACCCUGCAUUGUCCAAGACCGACUCAGUGGCCUAGAAUUAGAACAUAAAUUUUUAUUCCAUCCAGGGAUUGGUUGAUUUCUCUUGCUGCCUAACCGGUGAGUUCUCUCUCUCAUGAAUCCCUUUCCCUUCGUAUCUUUGCUUGUUUGCAUAAUGCAGAAGCAGCAGGGAGGAAGAGGGAGAAGCAGAAGAAAUAGAAAUAGUAAGAAGUGAUCGAGAACAUAAUGGCAGGUAAUUUUUUAUACAACGUAUGAUUGAUUGUAUUUUUUUUUUGUUUUGGAAUGUAAACAUCCGAGUUAUAUCUCAUAUUUGUUCUUUGGAACUCCUUCUUUACCAUGUUUGUAAUUAUGCAUAUUUUGUAGUUUGCUAAUAUUCAAGUUGAUUUUGGGUAGUUCGUUCAGAAAAAAGUUUAUACAAAAUAUCUUCUUAUUAUAAGCAAUAUGCUAUAUGUGUGGUAGAUAUUUUUGUUGUCUUUGUCUUUAAGAAAACUGGCCAAUUAAUAAGAUAUUAAUGCUAUAUGUGUGUGAUAAUUUGAACAAAUUUUAUAUAUGUAUACUAAGUUUGGGUGUUAUGAAAUUUUAAAGGCCUGAAGUAGGACCAUCCAACGAAAAAUUUGUAAAGCCGCCACUACAAGUAGCAGCACCAUUAUUCCUGCUGGCUAGUGUGUCCAUUUGACGCUGGUAAAGUCAAUUCGUCAAGAUUAUUUUAACUCUUUUGAAGGAAAGAUAAAAGCUUUGCCUUAUAUAUUGUCAAGAUUCUUUUAACAUCCACUAAUCCAUGAUAUAUCCAGUUAUCCACCAUGAUUGAUUGCUCCAUGCACACACAUUGAGACACGCCGAGAAUGGGUGGUGGGUGGCCUGUGAGUGGCUACCGGCUAGUGCCAAAUUGGCCGUGGAAGGAGGAGCUACGCCGCCGCGCGCACAAUUUCUUUCUAAAAAAAAGUUUGAAUGCACUUUUCUUUCUCAAAAUCUCGUUUUCCAAAAUAAAACUAUUUCUUCAUAUGUUUCAUUCUCUUAACUAAUCACAAUCAUUUUCUAUUUUGAUUUCAUCAUCUACUAUCUUUUCUCAAUUAAUCAUAAUAUAUCUUUAAGUAUUUUGGUCUACUUUUUAAAUAUCUGUGUCCAUCUAAAAAUGGUUGGUUAGGGACGGAGAAAGUAAAGGAUACAACAGCAAAUUGCACUCCCCAGCACUGCAGGCGCUAUAAGUUGUGAUGAGCACCAAACCAAGAGGUAAGGUUCAACAAGUUCGACCAGUGAGACGAAGAAACUGAAGAUGAGGAAGCAACGGGGAUCUUCUUCUGCUGUCUCCAUUUGGAAGGCGCUCCUGAUUCUCCUGGCUCUCAUCUGCGCCCUGCGCCCAGCUCAAGGAGGUAAAUAGUUAAAGACUGUAGAUCACUCACUAGACAGUGUUGUGUUGGUAAUUAAUUAACCGAAUAAAUCAAUGGACUAUACAUAUAUAUGCUGGAUAUAUUUAUGCAGGGAGAGGUGUGUCCGUGGGAUAUCCAGGUCCUCGUUCCAACAAGGCCAGCAGUUACUCCAGGGGCGGCGUGGGAUGCAGCAGUAUCGACGAGUGCGACGCCCCUCCAGCUCCAGGUGAAGAAGUCUUACCAUGACAGUCUGCUCUCCAAGAGUCUGUUUGACGCCAUUUUCAGUUUCAGUUCUUUCUUUUCAAAAGCUGGAGUCCAGUUAAACAGUUCCAACUCAAAUUAAAAUAAGAGCAAAGCUGAAUGGAACGCUCUCACAAAAUAAAAAAGAUAGAGGCUAGAUUUAUGCUGCUCCACAGCCCUACUUAAGACCUAACUCGAUCUUAGAAACUGUACUUCGGCUCCUUUGCUUGUUCGCCUUCUCCGUGAUGGCAUCAUUCGACCCUGGUCUUGAAUUUGAAGUUUCAUUAUUCUUACUUUCUUAUCUGUAUAAAUCGAGAGGCAGACAAAUAUUAGAUUUCUAUUGGGCGUUGUCCAUGUCCAUGUUUGACAAGAGUUGUAUGACAGUGAUCUUAAAUUAAUCUUCAACGACGCACUGGCUGCCAAGAGUUUUAACCAUACACGUUAAUUAUCACUAUUAUUAUUCAGUAAAAAACCUUGAACUAAUCUCGAUGCUUGAUAUCUUUCCAAGGACUAUGAAUGGUCAACUACAACUUUGUAUACUACUCCCUCCAUCCCAUAAUAAGAGGUAUGGUCAAACUUGACAUAAUCUUCAAAACUAAUCUUUGACUUAAAAUUUCUCAUAUACUAUAAGGUUUAUUGCAACAAAUUUAUAAUCACAUUAAAGUAAAUUUAAAUGUCAAUCCAAUGAUAUAAAUUUUAACAAAUAAAAUUCAUUUUAUUUUAUAAUAAUUGUUGAUCAAAUGUUUUUAAAGUUGAAUAUUGAAAUAUGUGCACACCUUAUAUUAUGGGAUAGGGGGAGGAGUACAUUUCCUCUGUAUACCUAUGACAAUGGAAUCUGUUUGGAAUGUGGAGUGUGAUUAUCUAAGAGCAUGCAUGUAUGAUAAGAUCAUGUAAACGGGCUAUAGAAGACGUCACAUCGGAUUUGUACUGAAUUGAAAUUAAGAGAGAAGAGGACAGAAAAAAAAAGCAAGCUACAUAUAUGUAACCAGUUGUAACACGAACUUCAAAAAACUAUGAGUUUUUUUUAACGAACCGGCACUUAGAAUGUGCCAAUUUCAUUGAAUAUGGCAAAAAAAAAAAGCUGUACAAGAGUAGCUCUAUACAGGUUUAAAAGAAAAAAGAAGACUCUAAGGCACUAUGUUACAUAGUCCAUUCGGUGCUGCCAUGGCCCAAAUCUGUGCCUCCUCUUUGAUCUUUGCAACCAAGUAUGUUGCCGAUAGUUUUUUUUUGUCUUAACUGAUUUCGCUCCUUCCAAAUCUCCCAUGACGCUAGGAGAAUAAGGCUACGCAACACUUUCUUUGGCACCCCUGGGGUAGAGGCAAGAUCCGUCCGUUACUCAUAUCAUGGACCAUCGUAGGAUUGUUCCAAUUAGAUAGCUGAAUUUGCUUGUGGGAGAUCUUUGUGAGGUUAAGGAUAAUAAUAGAAUAAGCAUCUUACUAUUAGUAUCUUCCACGUCAUCUCUACAGGAGAAGGCUUAAAAGACAAAAUUUACAGUAAAAUAUACCGUAAAGUUGUUCUUUUUUUUUGAGAACUCUAUAAGAGCGGGUACAAUAGCAGACUAUUAACCAGCUACAAACAUAUUUUAAUGAGAUAAAAGAUGAGAGAGAAGAGCAGCGGGCUAUAGAUUUGUAGCCAGCUGCAGCGCGGACUCCAAGACGCAAUGUGUAUAUGACAGGUGGGACCAUAUAUUAUAGUAUAGUAAGCAAAUAUUGUAUAAAUUAGCUAUUAGAUUGGCUAUAAAUGAAUUGGAGCUAGUAGUGGGCUAUACUAUUAACCUUGCUCUAAGUUGUCUGAAUGCCAUCUCCUCCUAAGCAUAAUGCAUUUAACGCUUAAAAGUAUAUGUGAAUUUAUGCUGGACCACAUGUAAAUAUUAUUUUUUUAACUAUAUGGAGAGAUCCAAGUAUUAAUAAUGUAUUAUAAAUAUAUAGUUAACUAUUGUAUAGGUGCACCACUGGUAUAUUGACUGUAGUAUUAGGGCUGCUCUAAUACCAUAUAUCUAUGGUUGAUUACUCGACAGUAUGGCUAGUUCCCAACACGUACGCUUGCAAGAGCUAGUUCCCAACAUUCCCCUCUCAUUUUCCACACGUAUACUUUUCAAAUUGCUAAACGGUGCGUUUUUUUACAAAAAAUUUCUAUACAAAAAUUAUUAAAAAAAAUCAUAUUGAUCUAUUUUUGAAAAAAAUGGCUAAUACUUAAUUAAUCUCACGCUAAUAGACCGCUCCGUUUUCCGUGCAUAGGAGAUGGUUUCUAUCAGAGCAGGUAUAAUAGCAGGCUAUUAGCUAGCUGUAAACAUAUUUUAAUGAGAUAAAAGAUGAGAGAGAAGAGCAGCGGGCUACAAAUCUAUAGCCAGCUGCAGCGCGGAUUCCAAUACGCAAUGUGUGUAUGACAGGUGGGACCAUAUAAUAUUAAUAUAUUUAUAGUAUAGUAAGCAACUAUUAUAUAAAUUAGCUAUUAGAUUGGUUGUAGAUGAAUUGGAGCCAGUAAUGGGCUAUACUAUUAAACUUCCGAACACAGCCAGUGCAGUGGCGAAGGCCGGACGACCGUGGAUAGUUGACCGGCCGGCACAUUCAUUGGGAUUAAGACAAAAUUACCUUGCUUAAUCAGUGUUUGAGCCGUAUGAGCAGCACAACAGUAGUAGUACUGUAUAGUACUAGCAACUUAAUUAACAUGUUUCACACAAACUAGUAACGCAAAUGCUCACGUCGAGAUGAUCUAUAUAUGGAUCUGUAUAAAACUUUACCUAUUGCUAGUCUUGCCUAGGUUCGUAAAAAUUUCUGGAUCCAGCGAUGGAAUUCACCGGGCGAUAUUACUCCACGUACAGUCCACAGAGAUAUGAUGAGACAUUGCAUGUCGUGGAAAAAAUGACGACUUUAAUUGUUGGCCAGGUGCCUAAUUAGUCCAGGGAAGAAAGAGUGUCAUUGACCCCUGGUCAACGAUAGCGAACUGCAUGCACUACCCAACCGACUGGCUCUAUAAAUUGUGAAAACCCAACAGCCGAGAAGCAAACAAACACCAGCAAGCAAAGAGGUGCAAUAUAUUUGAGGGAGAGAUCAGAAAAAGAAUUAAGGUAGAGAUAAUAAGAUAGUAAUGAGGACGCAACGCAGCUACCUUUGCAAGGUGCUCCUGAUGGUCCUCGCCCUCAUCUGCACCCUGCACACUGCCUCGGUACAAGGAGGUAAAUACACUUAUAAUCAGGGUUCACCUUAUCUUUUUUUUCCUCCCGCGGUAACCACGUGGUUACCGUGAAAACCGUGCGGUAUAACCGCAAGACAUAUCGUGGUUUCAAAAACUGAAAAGACUACCGUGCAUGAUAAAUGCGAUAAUCCUGCUUAUAAUUAUUGAGAUAGUUAAGCCUGGUUGGUUGACUUAAUUUGUAAUAUGUGUUGUACGAUGUGAUUGAUGGAAGCAGGGAGAGCAGGAGCAGCAGAUGCAAUUGGUAGGAACGGAGCGCUGAAUCCACCACGGUACCCGGUGCCCAGGAUUCCCGGCGAACCUUACACACGCCCGGGACGGGGAUGCACCGUUGCAUACGGAUGCUAUGGAGGUCCUCCAGCUGCCAAACCAUGACGAUCGACACACUACUCUGCUACUGCUACUGCAUG
rnacentral:lncRNA from 1 species